UUUGUAAAAAUGCAGCUUUAUUUUAUAAUAAAACAAAAAAAUGUUAACAACAGUUGAAACAUUGAAUAAUUGAUAUUAUUUCUAAUAGUUGACCAAGAGAGUAGCAAUGCGCAAUCAAAAGAGGCACUUCUCUACAAUUAUUUACAGUUUCUUAAUUUUUUUUAAAUCAACCAAUUAUAAUUAAAAUGUAUGAAUCAAAAUAUAUAAUUUUAAUCCCAUUAAUUCAGGCAAACUAUCACGUUUGUUUUUAAAGUGAAAAAUUCUUAGUGAGAUUACCAAAUCAAAUCGCUACACUAAGAAAAAUAAAUAUUUCAUCUUAAUCAUAAAACCAUCGACGUUUGGAAAAGUCAAUAUAUAAAGAAUUAAUAAACAUGGCCACGCAGUCCCAUCUUGUAGCCCUACAUCUGUGAUUCCACUUCACAAUGAACGCAACAGCCCAAUGAUCAACGAACUUCAUCUGCUAUUUGCACGACAGUUCUAGUACAGAAAUGAGACCUCACCGUUUUCCAAACCCCUUCCACCAGUACAUCAGUGAUCAACGCUGGUUGCGGCCAGAAUGGUUGUCCUCUCUUCACAAGGUCAACUUUUUGUAGUUGAGGACAUGAAGCAGAUAGAAUCCGUCGCAAUUUUGAGUGUGGCCACACCUCAGUGUCAGGGCAUCCUGAAAUUUCUUUCAAAGUUUCUACUAAUCAAAUUUUCACGCUAGCUUUUUGUUUUUUCUCUUUGGUUUAUUGCUUUUUAUACAGUCAAUUCUCAACUGAAAAUGAUGUACAUUUAAGUUUGUAGUUGUAGGGUACUGUCAAUUGUCACUUGUCAGUGAACUACCGCGUAAUUUGAAAUGGAUACAGCAUAUUGGAAUGAAAAAUCAUGUCUUUUAUACGUUUUAUAGCCUCCGGUGAAAUAAAUAUUAACACUAUGUAAUAAAACAAGUUAUUUCGGGGGAAAAUACUCAUAUUGUUCCAUUUUAUUUAUUGUCUCCUUGUGAAGCCUCUUUGAUACCUUAUUUUUCGAAGAUUUGGUAUUGGACCCUAAUUAGAAGUUUUCUUUUUGAUAUUUAUAAUUAUUAUAAUGGGAAAAACAACUAAUUAAAGUAACGUGUGCAUUUGUGCCUUUUAUAAUGAGAUUAAAUAUUGAAAUAUUUUCAUCAAUAUUAAAGUACGUUCAAGAUUCAAAUGUCUAUGUGUCAAGAACAGUAAAUAUUUCCACUUCUUUAUACAAACAAAACAUUUGUCGCCCCUAGUUUAACACAAUUAAGCUUGAAACAUUUUGACUUCAGACCUGACUGAUGCAUCAAUAAAGAAAAUAAACUCGUUAAUAUGCUUCCAGCAGCAAUUUGCUUUUGUCUCUGUGUCUUCUUUCCACCAACGAAAAAUCAGUUUGAACAAGUGUAAUGGAUCAGCAAGACUAAAACAAGACGUUGAAACGAAUCAAUUCGAAUUCAUUUUUGAAAAUGAAUCAGUCAACGCAAACUAAUGUAGACCAGGCUUUCACUGUUCCCGAACGUACCGAACUGAUGAUUAUUUUUUAAAAAACGAUGUUUUCACGUCAGUAUCACUGAAGCAACCUGACUGAUGCAUCAAUAAAGAAAAUAAAUUCGUUAAUAUGCUUCCAGCAGCCAUUUGCUUUUGUCUCUGUGUCUUCUUUCCACCAACGAAAAAUCAGUUUGAACAAGUGUAAUGAAUCAGCAAGACUAACACGAGACGUUGAAACGAAUCAAUUCGAAUUCAUUUUUGAUAAUGAAUCAGUCAACGCAAACUAAUGUAGACCAGGCUUUCACUUUCUCUGAACGUACCGAACUGAUGAUUAUUUUUUAAAAAACGAUGUUUUCACGUCAGUAUCACUGAAGCAACCUGACUGAUGCAUCAAUAAAGAAAAUAAAUUCGUUAAUAUGCUUCCAGCAGCCAUUUGCUUUUGUCUCUGUGUCUUCUUUCCACCAACGAAAAAUCAGUUUGAACAAGUGUAAUGAAUCAGCAAGACUAACACGAGACGUUGAAACGAAUCAAUUCGAAUUCAUUUUUGAUAAUGAAUCAGUCAACGCAAACUAAUGUAGACCAGGCUUUCACUUUCCCUGAACGUACCGAACUGAUGAUUAUUUUUUAAAAAACGAUGUUUUCACGUCAGUAUCACUGAAGCAACCUGACUGAUGCAUCAAUAAAGAAAAUAAAUUCGUUAAUAUGCUUCCAGCAGCCAUUUGCUUUUGUCUCUGUGUCUUCUUUCCACCAACGAAAAAUCAGUUUGAACAAGUGUAAUGAAUCAGCAAGACUAACACGAGACGUUGAAACGAAUCAAUUCGAAUUCAUUUUUGAUAAUGAAUCAGUCAACGCAAACUAAUGUAGACCAGGCUUUCACUUUCCCUGAACGUACCGAACUGAUGAUUAUUUUUUAAAAAACGAUGUUUUCACGUCAGUAUCACUGAAGCAACCUGACUGAUGCAUCAAUAAAGAAAAUAAAUUCGUUAAUAUGCUUCCAGCAGCCAUUUGCUUUUGUCUCUGUGUCUUCUUUCCACCAACGAAAAAUCAGUUUGAACAAGUGUAAUGAAUCAGCAAGACUAACACGAGACGUUGAAACGAAUCAAUUCGAAUUCAUUUUUGAUAAUGAAUCAGUCAACGCAAACUAAUGUAGACCAGGCUUUCACUUUCCCUGAACGUACCGAACUGAUGAUUAUUUUUUAAAAAACGAUGUUUUCACGUCAGUAUCACUGAAGCAACCUGACUGAUGCAUCAAUAAAGAAAAUAAAUUCGUUAAUAUGCUUCCAGCAGCCAUUUGCUUUUGUCUCUGUGUCUUCUUUCCACCAACGAAAAAUCAGUUUGAACAAGUGUAAUGAAUCAGCAAGACUAACACGAGACGUUGAAACGAAUCAAUUCGAAUUCAUUUUUGAUAAUGAAUCAGUCAACGCAAACUAAUGUAGACCAGGCUUUCACUUUCCCUGAACGUACCGAACUGAUGAUUAUUUUUUAAAAAACGAUGUUUUCACGUCAGUAUCACUGAAGCAACCUGACUGAUGCAUCAAUAAAGAAAAUAAAUUCGUUAAUAUGCUUCCAGCAGCAAUUUGCUUUUGUCUCUGUGUCUUCUUUCCACCAACGAAAAAUCAGUUUGAACAAGUGUAAUGAAUCAGCAAGACUAACACGAGACGUUGAAACGAAUCAAUUCGAAUUCAUUUUUGAUAAUGAAUCAGUCAACGCAAACUAAUGUAGACCAGGCUUUCACUUUCUCUGAACGUACCGAACUGAUGAUUAUUUUUUAAAAAACGAUGUUUUCACGUCAGUAUCACUGAAGCAACCUGACUGAUGCAUCAAUAAAGAAAAUAAAUUCGUUAAUAUGCUUCCAGCAGUCAUUUGCUUUUGUCUCUGUGUCUUCUUUCCACCAACGAAAAAUCAGUUUGAACAAGUGUAAUGAAUCAGCAAGACUAAAACAAGACGUUGAAACGAAUCAAUUCGAAUUCAUUUUUGAUAAUGAAUCAGUCAACGCAAACUAAUGUAGACCAGGCUUUCACUGUUCCCGAACGUACCGAACUGAUGAUUAUUUUUUAAAAAACGAUGUUUUCACGUCAGUAUCACUGAAGCAACCUGACUGAUGCAUCAAUAAAGAAAAUAAAUUCGUUAAUAUGCUUCCAGCAGCCAUUUGCUUUUGUCUCUGUGUCUUCUUUCCACCAACGAAAAAUCAGUUUGAACAAGUGUAAUGAAUCAGCAAGACUAAAACAAGACGUUGAAACGAAUCAAUUCGAAUUCAUUUUUGAUAAUGAAUCAGUCAACGCAAACUAAUGUAGACCAGGCUUUCACUUUCCCUGAACGUACCGAACUGAACAAUAUGACUGACUAGUAGAAACCCCGCUUAAGAUAAUAUAUUAUUCCAAUUAAGUUUAUUUAAUUACUUAUUAUAGUUUGGUAGAAUGUUUAUGAAAAGAAAAGCGAUAGGAAGCCAAUGAUGAAUCCGGAAGCAAAGAUUAGAAUAGUUACUUACUUCUAGCAACAAAAGAAAUUGAUAAAAGAAUUUACAAGGACCAGAAAAUAUUUAAAGUGAAAGUGAUUCAAACAAGUGAAAGUUAUAUCCAAAUAAUCAAAUCAUUUAACUUUUUCUUGAGACAUUUACAGACGAAUCUGUUAUGGAAUCGAUAAUGGAAAAUUAGUUAUCCGUGCUGGAAACUGUUACAAAUAUCGUUUUUGUUAAAUCAAUUAGCUUCUCUCGUUAAAGUCUACUUAAACAUACUCUAGACACGAUAACAGCAUGAGCACUUUCGGUAAAAAUAUAACAAAACUUUUCACAGAACUGCAAGAUAAUAUACUCUAUGUGAAUGUAACUAUAAUUUUACAACUAAAUUCAAGGUUCGUUUAAGACAAAUGGAAUUUUGUAAACUUGUUUCAGUGCUCGGUGUAUUAAUAUUCGGAUUUGUUGUUUUUAUACACUUAUUCGAAUAUAAAUAUUUCUCAUUUUGGAGAAUUAAAAUAUAAUUCUGUCACUUAAAAAAUAUUUAUCUUAAAGAAACCUUUUCGUUUUUCUAUAACUUUCAUAUAUUUCUUUAAAACUACAUGUCAUAUUGUAAGAAAGCAUCUCGUAAUUUAUAUUUUUUUCAGUCUAUACUAGGAUUUCAUCAUGGCGAAAAUUAAAAGAAUGAUAUAAUUGAUAUCGGUUUUUAUUUACAUUCUAAUUUCCAAAUAAUAGCGUGAAAUGUUGCAACGUGAAAAUCUACUGCUAUAAUCAUAUUGAAACUGAUAAUUAUUUUGAGCUUGUACAAUUGUAUUUGUACGAGGGUGAAUCAAAUAUAAACGAGACUUUUGGACCUGCGCGCGCAAUAGUGUUCCGCUGUUAGGUUGGUUUGUCAGGAGUGGGGGAAGCACGUGACUCAUCAUCAUAGACUCGCUCAGUGUCCAUCGUUACGAUGUCCGAGCAGGAGGUACCUCCCUCUAUUGCGCAACGUAUUGUUAUAAAGUUUUUAGCUGCAGAAGGUGUAAAACCGGCCGAAAUCUUGAGAAGAUUGACUGCACAGUUCGGGGAAAAGACGCUGUCGCGAGCUAGAGUGUUUGCUUGGCAUAAACAGUUCGUGGAGGGCCAUGAACGUAUUGAAAAUGAGAGCCAUGACCGCAGACCCCGCACCAGCAUUACAGCGGGCAACAUCGACAGUGUUCGUCAACUUGUUGAAGGUGACAGGCGUCUAACAACUUCGGAUAUUGCAAUUGCGAUAUGCAAGACUUGCAUAUCGCCGCAAAAGACGACACCUUCCAAUGAGAAAAGUGAUUCUCCUCCAUGACAAUGCUCGCCCCCAUACGGCAGCCCUGACAGUACAAAAAUUGGAGCAACUGGGUUGGGAGACACUGGAACACCCUCCAUACAGUCCAGACCUGUCUCCCUGCGACUUCCAUGUCUUUGGUCCUCUCAAGGAAGCUUUGGGAGGGCAAAAAUUCCACAGCGAUAAUGAGGUUGAGGCAUAUGUGCGCCAUUGGCUACAAACACGACCUGACUCUUUUUACCUGGAAGGAAUUAAAAAAUUACCUAUACGUUGGGAAAAAUGUGUUUCUAAAUCAGGAGAUUAUGUAGAAAAAUAAACUAUGAUUGUUUGGGCGUUUAAAAUCAAAAUAAAUAUUUUAAAAAAUAAGUCUUGUUUAUAUUUGAUUCACCCUCGUAGGUUACCUCAAACAUACCAUUGUUUUCCAUAUAAUCUAUAUAGAAAUGUGUUUUCCUACGACCACUUAUGAAAAUGAUAGAUCGCACACUCAUUUUUACAUAAGAAAGUAGCUUAUUUCACAUAUGUACUAAAAAAUAACAAAACAUACAUGUAUUGAAAUGCUUCUUUUCCUUAUGUUAUAUAUGGUCUCGAACUAUAGAGGGAAUACGCGAAUACAAUAUGAAUCUGGCUGGGUGCCCGAAGGCAAAAGGCCAAAUUUAAGAAGACUGAAGAAGUAGACAAUAUAAUUUUUUGAGGUUAUAUUAGUUCUUACGAUCACAAGAAAGUAGCUUAUUUCACACAAUUUUAGUAAAGACAGGAGCAGAUUUUGAUGCAUUAAAACGCCACUUCAUAUUUAACUUUUAUAACGUCUCAAAAAAAAGUAAAACAAAAUUAUUAAUUUAGUUCUUGUUAGGUAUCUAAUAUAGUUACAAAAAAUUUAUUGUUGUAUUGGUUCUUUUUAUGUUCUCUAGUUAUAAAACAUUUCAUAAUAAUUCUUUUCAUUUUUGUCAUCUCUACUAUUACAAAAUAAAAUAUAUUUUUUAGGAUAUUUUAACUCUAAUUAACUUUCUUAUUUAAAAAAUACGUUUUUAUGAAGAAUUUUUUACGUGGUCGUAGGAAAAAUAAUGUAGACAACUCGUUAGAAAGUGUAUUUCGCACUCGCUGCUACGCGGUUCGUGCAAAACAGUAACUUUCCAAACUCGUUUGUGAUAUUGCUGAAAUUAUUAACUAUUAUUUAUUCAUUGUCUCUCACUCUGCAACAUUCCGUAUAAUAAUGGAAUAAAAAACGAGAUUUCAUUGGUGAGAGUUCACUUACUAAAAACAGUUUUAUAACAAAUAUAAGUUGAAUAUUUUGAAUACGUUAUUUUUUGCUUAUAAAUCUAAUAACUGGUAAAACCUCUACACUACUCGCGGAGUUAACCGAAGUUAACCGAAAAAAUUAGCGUAGUGACAGCUUCUUGUAACCUCGCUUAGUUUCUUACAUUGUCAAACUAUGUGCGAAGGACCCGAAGUGAAACGAAGUUCGAACACGAAGCGUGUGAUAGCACAUCUAUCGAUGAUCGUUAGUUUGUGUCAACUGUCAAAUUUUAUUUGUUGCCGUGUCCAAAAUACAAUAUACUCAAUAAUAAAUUGAAUACAAAAUACGAAUACUACAAAACUACUUAUUUGUAACUAUACUUUUUGGUAUAGAUGUAGAGGUACACUAUGAUUGAUUAGAGGAAACUUAUAUAUUGCAGUGGACUGUAACACUUAAUUUUUUAACAUAAAAUUGAUUCUCCGGUACACACCUACUUCGUUGAUCAUUUAUGGUAAACUGAACUUUUAUUUUAAGCGCUGUUGCCGCUUUUACAUACAAUGUUUAAUAUACACCAACAAACCUUCUUAAGCAUUUUUAUAGUCUUCUUUAUUGAGUAAUAAAGUAUAUUUUGUACUUAUUUCUACAUCCAAUAAUGUAAGAAAAUAUUAUUUGAGCAGCCCAGUUCUGAUUUUAUUUCAAAAACAAGAAGGUAAAUCUAAAUAACUGUCUAUUUAACCACGAUAAAGAAUAUGCAUAUAUGUUUUUAUAUUUUUAAUUAACUUUUUACAUAGCAACAAUAACAAAAAAUAUCAAAAUAAUUUUUAAAGUAUCAGUAAAAUUUGGCUUGUAUUGAACGCGGUUAUUUUUCGCGAACUUAGGAUGACGUCCACUAUUUAUUUACCUCAAGAGUGACAGUUCCUUUAUACAAUUUCAGGUUAUGAUAUCGAUAAAAUUUAUGGAAAAAAUGGAGAGUGCUUUCAUUAAAACCUUUUUGUAUAAAUCUUGUUAAAUCGUGAGAUCUGGCAUCCCUGUCUGCAUGACUGAGUUUAUUGCGAGGUAGUACGAGUAUGAGGACACACACUUCCGACUCCGUCCGAGCGAGUAUUGUAGUGGGUGCCUGACAAUUUCGAACCUAACCACAACUAUUUACAACAAAACAGAAGUAGCCUCAAAAUCUUAUUUUGAGAUUAAAACAUGUCAAAAUUUUUAAGUGCUUGAAACAUAAGAUUAUAAUCCUAGAACUUGUAUAGUGUUAAUAAAACCAAACAUGAACCAUAAAUAGAUAAAACCAAACACAAACAAUAAAUAGAUAGGAAGUCGGAUAGUCACUGAAAAAUAUGCCGAAUAACCCUGAUAGCUGAGGUCUUUCCAACAUUAAUAAUAAGAAGAAUAGUCAAACUUUAGUAUUUUCAUAUCAUAUUAGUUCAGCCACCUGGAAGCUUAGAACAUGUAAGUUUUUAGUAUGAUUUGUGAAACAGCAAGAAUUUAGCAAGAUUUAACAGCUUAGUAAUAAGGAUUAUGACAGUUAUUGCAAAUGGGAACAAUGUGUCCAUUUUUGAAGUUUUGUUCAUCAUUUUCACAAGGAAUAACAUCUUAUAAGAAUCCCUAGAUGAUUGUAAUUUUUGUUUUGUUUCGUAAUUGAUAUAAUAAUAACUUUUAGAACCAGAGAAAUCAAUGGAAUCCUUAAGGUAUGUUUUAAGUUAAGAGCAUAUAUUAAACACCAUAUAUGGAGUCAACAUAUUUCGAAAGCCGAAAGAAUGCUGUCAAUUCAUGUAUAUUUAGGAAUACAGACAGAAAGAUUUUUAAUAAUAUGUUGGGGAAACCGAGGAGGGUGAUGACAAAUUUGACACAUACAUAUAUUUUUGUAAUAUGAACAAAACGCGUUUUUUUGCAUAAAAGUACUUUAAUUAUCAUUUAAAAUAAAAGUAAGAAACAAUAACAUGAAGUAUUAGAUAUCAAGAUAACAAACAUUCUGAUCUAAUCUGACAAACAGUUACUUAUGACAGAUGUAUUGCAGGGCAAUCUUCGUGAGAUCAGCCUUUACUUUCCAAGCACUGAACCCACUUCUCAUUUGGUCUGCUAUGGAAUUUAAGGCAGCACAAGCAAUAAUAAGCAUUUUCUUCUGUAUAUUCUGCACUUUUCUUGUUAGUCACCUCCUUGGCUUUCUUCAGUUUCUUAUUUUCUUCAUUUAAAACACGCCUUUUCACACAUUUUAACUUUCUACUGGCUUCUACGGAAGCUAAUAUUUUGUAUGUGUAGUCUUGCUGAUUCUGGUGAGAACUUAUUAGAAGUGGCAAGAGGAGAACGAGCUGUAGACUUGGAGGCAAAGGAUUCUGCAUGUUAAAUGUGGAUUGCUAGAUAUCGCGGCUUGAUCUGUGGGUUUAACUGGAGUAAGGGCUCUUGCUUCAUUUUUUUGAACUGUAGCAAUAGUACGAUUUGGAGUAAAUGGUUUACAUUGACCGUAGUUUCUUGAACAUUUGAUGAUUGUUCUUGUUCUGGAUUGGGCAAACAUUUUAAUGCCAAUAACAUUUAUUUAGCUUAAAACUUCAGAAACGACUGAAUGUAGGCAAAAGUAGUCUUUUAUAUUCGAUUUUUUUUCCAUACAAACGUCGUACUUGGACAACCGCUUGCCUCUGGCGCGUACUGCGUCAAUUAAAUAAACAAUUGCACGGUGUUGCCAGCUCGCUAAUGGUCAUAGGUUUCAACAAAUUGUCUUUGAUACAACUCUUCUCCGUCACAACCCACCUCGGUCUCCCUCUACUAUUUUUGAAAAAAGUACAGUAGUGAUAAUUGUAUUGGAAUAGUCAAAAAGGAACCGCUCAAUCCUGAAAUUGGAUUUACGCCAAUUUUUCUGAAACUUGGGACAAUGACAGUUUGAAGCAAGCUGAUGAAAAGUCUUAAUGAAUAUGAAGAGAUUCUCUUGCUGUGGACGCUGAUAGGAUUCAACCCAAAUGUAAGUGAGACUUUUGAUUGGUUUGUUUCAAAUUAUCAUUAUGCCACGUUUCAGAAAAAAAUUGGUCAGAUCCAUUGAGUCUUUUGAUGUGAAACAACACCUGCUAGGUAUAUCUUGCUAUAUCCAUGUGAACUACACUGAUUAAAAUCAUCUAAAUAAGCUUCUCGAACUGAAUCAACGUCGGACUUAGAUCAUUUUUAUAACAAAAACAUUGCAAGCACACAAACAGCUAACAAGUUGAUAAUUUUUUAAAUUAAAUUUACUAUUAAGUCUUACAUUCAAGAACUAAAAGAAAUGUAGACCAUUUUCAGAUAUCCAUAUUGUAGAUCACAGCUAAUGUGAAGAAUCUCCUUCUUUAAAUAUACUUUUUUUACUUAUUUAAGUGUCGUAUCAAUCACUUAUCUUGUUUCUUAUUGGAAUAAAACGUAAAACAAGAAAAAACUAAUAAUAACAUUCAAAUGGUUAUCAAGUGAAUGACAUGACAAUUUGCUAGUCUCCAUGAAAAGCAACCAGGGAAAUAAUAUAAAAAGUAGAAAAAUUCAUGGCAGGCGAAAAACUAAAAGCAUCAUUUCAAACAUAAUUUGUAAGAGUUUUUUUUUGUCAAUUUACAAUUUUGAGAUUCAAAUGGACUUUUCUAUUCAGUAUCAUUAUUGUCUAUCAUAUUCUCGAUACAUCAAUUCUAAAAUAAAAAAGUGUAAUCAAUUAUUUACCCCAACUGAUUCCAUAUUUAAACAUCUCGCAUCCCAGAAUGCGGUUUCCGAACAGACCAGAUUUUAAUACUACACCAGAUGCUUGAGAAGUGCUUCAAGUACAACAUCGAUACCUUUCACAUUUUCAUCGAUUUUGAGACGACAUAUUCAAGACCAAAAUUCUACCAGGAUAUGAAUGAACUACACCAAAAACUUUAAUUGAAUUCUAGUCGAAAUCUAAGAUCAAUUCGAGAUAACAUUAGUAGAAGACGCGAUGACGUGUCUCCUGUUCAACAUAGCACUGGAAAUAGUAGUUCGAGAUGAGGAACUCGACACCAGAGGUACAUUCUUUAAUAAAUCACCGCAGGUGCUUGUCUACGCUGUCCUAUCUCUAAGCCCUAAGAAAAGCAAAAGGAACUUUUGUAAAUUUUGGGAACGCCGCAGAGAAUAUGGAACUAAAAAUCAAUACGAAUAAGACAACAACAGUAGUAGUGAAGUAGAACAAAACUACAAUAAACACAAGACAACCCAUAAAAGCAUUGAUUCCAAAAGAAGUACACAAUGAAAUAAAAUUACGAAAAAACACCUAAUAACCGACAAAAUUCUGAAAUAAUUGCCUCAAAAAUGUACAUUUACAAUGCAAUUAUGAGAUUCGGAUACUGGCCAAAUGAAGCUAAAGCCAAAUGAAGCUGCACAAAUCAUAUUAAUCGGUAAACCAGGCAAAGACCCAACCAACGUGUCAUCUUACCGUCCAAUAAGCCUUCUACCUAAAAUGUCCAAACUCCUUGUAAAAUCGAAAGAAUGAAGUGCUAGAAAUACGGUUCCAAAUAUUACGAUUGCUAUGUUAUUUUGGACUUGAGCAAAACGAGUCUCUCAAGAAGUAAAAAAAACAAAAAAUAUAAGACGUUAAUUGUACCAGUUUAAAUCCAUAGAUAGCCUGGACUCGAAAAAAAGAAACGAUUGAGUCGUUACUUCUUCGAGAGAAAUAUAGUGAUAAAAAUUUACGGAGCUAUCCAAGGAAAUAUCGUCUGGAGACGUAGGAAUUCUACAACAAUCAAGAUGGGCAGGACAUGUAGAAGGCAUCUACAACAAAAACGAACUUCAAGGUCAUACCAACGGGUAGUAGAGGCACGGGGAGAUCAAGGCUAAGAUGGAGAGACGAGGUCUCUGAAUAUGCUACAAAGAUUGGUGCAGUGAAUUGGAUGGUCCUUGUAAGGCACCGGAGUCCGAGGCUAGAGAAAGUCGAGCCCCACGUGUAGGGCUGUAGUACUACUGGCUCCAUAUUUAUAAUUCCACAGUACUGUCUCCAGUCAGAGGCGUAGAGUGGAUUGUUUUCGUUCCAUUUAUAGGGGAUUUGUGUAUGUUAUGAAAAAGUUACGAAAAAAUAUUUAGAUGACCAAAAUAAACACAUUUUUAAAGAAAGAAUAAGCCACAGGAUUGCAAACAUCCAAAAAUCGCAAAAUAUUUUAUGUCGUUGUUUCUAGAAGCCGAUAACACGAAUAAAUUAGGUCGAAAUGAGUACUAGUUCAUUUAUCAUGAUAAUUUCUCUAAUUUUGUUUAAUAUUUCCCUGUUUUAUUAGAGAAGAAAGCGCAUCUCGGCAAUGUAUCCUGCAGAUGUAUACAUCGGAUUCAUCUAUAAAUGAAAUACUUAGGCCUAAUCUACUUUUCUUAAUAUUUCUAAAUACCCAAUGUAUUUUCUCUGCAGGAACGUGCCUUUUCUUAACAUAGAGCCUUUAUCUGUCCAAUUUUUUUCUCUCUAAAACCACGGUUCUUGGUUUUAUACUCAAAAUAAGUUGGAAUCUUAUUUAUCCUACUUAUGAUUUGUUUAAAAAAAUAAAUUAUUUGGGUUGAAGAUAUUCACUUUAAUAAAUAGAAAAAUAGUAGAUUUUUUUUUGAAAUAUACUGAGCUACGAUUAUCACCAGAUUUGAACGUAACAGGUGACUUUUAAAAAUUAUAGUGCUUACGCAAAACCAGUAGACGUAUAAUGAAUAAAAUAGUUAUGAGAUUAUCUUAAUUUGUAUUUGUGCUAAUAACUUCAAUUUUACAUUCAAAAUUUUAACGUUUUUCUAACCUAUGUAAAUUUUUAAACCCUUUAUAAGCGGUUCAAAAAAUUUUAUAAAAACUGUGUAAUUAUAUAGACAAAGGAUACAUUACAUGGGAAAAGAAGAAUAUCGUUAAAAUUAAGUUACCUAAGAUAACAGUUGAUCUACGUCAAAAUGACGGCCGUGUGGUAAACAAUAGAUUUUUUCGUAGGUACUCGAGUUAGCUUUUAAUGGGUUUUCUAGUAGUGAGUAUGGUGUUUUUUGCUUUAUGGUGUUACAAGGACAUCGUAGAUAAUUUUUAUAUGUGUUUUAGUGCAAUUAAUACAACGGAAACUAAGUUUUCAAAGGGAUAGUCCUGUUCAUUUUCCACCAGUUUCCAAUAUACUUCUUUUUAACCUACACAAAGCACAAUACUGCUUAGGCGAAAAAAGAGAACGAGCAACGUUUCCGGAAAGAAAUUUCGCACUUCUUCAAAUAGCAACUCCUAAAACAAUGAAACCGGGAAUCUAAAAUCCAGCAAAUAACUUCACAAAUCAAACAGAAACUUACGGCAAAAGCAUUUGUUUACCCCACGGCGGCCAUAUUAAAAUGGGCAUUGCAACAGUUCGUUAGAUUGCUCAAUAUGUGACAAAUAUAUUUCAAAGUGAAAUUUUAUAUCAAAAUUAAUCUUAAUAUUGCUUAUACUUUUUUAUUACUAAUAUUUUUCGUUCUGUUUGUAGAUAUGUUUCAAUAUUAUUUUCGAAUGAUAUUGCUAAAAAGUAGGAUAAGUAUGAGAUUCCAACAAAGAAAUAAGUGUGAAGAUAUUUUGAUAAUUAUUUACUGUUUUGCAGGUGAAUUUACCUAAUAUUUGAAUGGUCUCCUAUGAAUUCAAUUUAAGCCGAAUUGUUUUUAACGAAAUUUUAGAUAUGUCUUGUUUUUUUUUUGUUUGUAAUUUUCGUAAAACGUAAAGCAAAGACAAAACCACCUCUAUGUCUUUAACUUUUAGUUUUUUUUUUGAUAUAUUUCACACAAAUUUCUUCGAACUAAACAAAGCGAAAGUAAAUAUUAGCUGUAUUUUUUCAAUUUCUGUAAUUAAUUGUUUAAAGCUAAUAUGUUUACAAUGUGUGCGAGUUUUCUAAUUUCAUUGCAUCAUUUUUAGUACAUUUUCGUUUUUAUAUAAAAUGUAAGUAUUUUUUUUUUUUUUUUGUAUAUACAAUACAAAUUGAUUGGGAGUAUGAUUGGCUGUAGAAAGAUAAAUAUUGUGUCAGGAUUGUGUUCUAUUAUUUAUUUUUAUAACCUGUACCAAAUCUUUUGAGAAUUUAGUACAAGAAUUGUGCAAUUUUGGUUAUUGCAAUGGGGUUUUGGUAUACAAAGCUCCUACUACUUUUUAAAUAGAUUUAUUGUACAAUUGAUAUUUUUGAUCGGGAUAAACAAAUCGUUUUUGAUUUCCAUGUUACAAUAAGGAUGAUCCUUUUUUGCUCACCAGUUGAUGCUAUUGUACAGUAAGGUCCCAUUAGUUGUCGAGAUACUCGUGUGAAAAUAUAUAAUAUUGUUAAGAACAAGUUCGCGAAAUGGUUCCCUAAGCCGGCCCUGUCCAGCUACUAUGGAAUUUUAAAUAUUCGGCGAAUCCGCGCGGCGUUUUUUUUCACAUUUUUUAUAAAUGUUUGAUGUUCAUUUCUAUAUAAUUGUUAUUGUAGCAAGCGGUUUAUUUACAUUAUUUCUUCUGAAUAAUUUCUAGGAAAGUCUAUUCAUUUAUUUCUUUUUGUUCUAGAAGAAUUCUAGUAGAAAUUUAUUUAGGUAUAGAAAUCAGUUGUGUAAAUGCAGUUAGUUCAGUUUUAAAUAAAUUUAAGUGAAUUAUUAUUAAGUUAAGUGUUUUGUAUAGUGUGUAAAUAAAGUAAGAACGCGAGA